rnacentral:rRNA from 1 species
UUUGCCUACGGGAGGCAGCAGUGGGGGAUAUUGCACAAUGGGGGGAACCCUGAUGCAGCGACGCCGCGUGGGUGAAGAAGCGCCUCGGCGCGUAAAGCCCUGUCAGCAGGGAAGAAAAUGACGGUACCUGAAGAAGAAGCCCCGGCUAACUACGUGCCAGCAGCCGCGGUAAUACGUAGGGGGCAAGCGUUAUCCGGAUUUACUGGGUGUAAAGGGAGCGUAGACGGUAGAGCAAGUCUGAAGUGAAAGCCCGCGGCUCAACUGCGGGACUGCUUUGGAAACUGUUCAACUGGAGUGCUGGAGAG